AGUGAACGCUGGCGGUAGGCCUAACACGUGCAAGUCGAACGGCAGCACAGUAAGAGCUUGCUCUUACGGGUGGCGAGUGGCGGACGGGUGAGGAAUACAUCGGAAUCUACUUUUUCGUGGGGGAUAACGUAGGGAAACUUACGCUAAUACCGCAUACGACCUACGGGUGAAAGCAGGGGAUCUUCGGACCUUGCGCGAUUGAAUGAGCCGAUGUCGGAUUAGCUAGUUGGCGGGGUAAAGGCCCACCAAGGCGACGAUCCGUAGCUGGCCUGAGAGGAUGAUCAGCCACACUGGAACUGAGACACGGUCCAGACUCCUACGGGAGGCAGCAGUGGGGAAUAUUGGACAAUGGGCGCAAGCCUGAUCCAGCCAUACCGCGUGGGUGAAGAAGGCCUUCGGGUUGUAAAGCCCUUUUGUUGGGAAAGAAAAGCAGCAGGUUAAUACCCCGCUGUUCUGACGGUACCCAAAGAAUAAGCACCGGCUAACUUCGUG
rnacentral:rRNA from 1 species